UAGGAAAUUUCAUGAUCCGACUGGAAUCCAGGAAAAUCACAGCUGAAAUACAAAACAUCAGCCCUUAUCUCCAGCACUGUACAUGGCAGAAACUGCUUUUAUUCUAGAUGUCUAGAUCCAGAUCAACUGCAUGGGGUCCUACAGGAGAAGACCAAGAGACAGAGACAGAGACCAGGGAAAAUGACCGAUACCAUUCCUUCUCAGGGAUGCUACACACCCAUGGGGCAGAGGAUAAGAGGUUCCUGAAGGCAUCACCCCUCUGGCCAUGGCUGGUGUGCAGACAAAGCUGGAGAUUUGGAGUAGCCUGUUGUCCCACUGACUCUUAGACUGCCCCAGCUAAGAAGAACCAACUCCUCCUAUUACAGAUGAAAUAAACAAAGCUACUCAAGCUCUCUGGCAUCGCCCUGACGGUCAUCAUGUGCUUCACAUUUCCCUCCUGCCCCCCCUGAUUUUCUGGAAAAGGGAGAAAGUGUGUGAAAAAAAAUGGACAAUAACUUCUGUUAACUUUGUAGAUGUCUGGUUCCUCCAUAUGAGGCUGUGCUUGAAUCAAUUUUGGAGAGAGGGUUUCUAAAGUCUCUCUAGAUUCUAUUAAUUUUGAUAGAGACAAUAAAAGGCAGCAGGACCAACUCUGUGUGGUGGGAGAUCUAGCAACCAUUAUAGUCACAAUAGCCACCACUUACUGAACACCCACCAUGUGACAAAGAACAAAUGUGCAUGAAUUAUGUCACAUUUUUCACAAGCACCCCUUGAGUUGGGAGUUCACUCAUGAGGCAACUGAGGUUCAGGGAGAUGAAGUAACUCACCCUGUAGGUAGGAGGGCUGAGAUCUGGACGUAGAUCUUUCCUCCAAAGCUUUGUCUUUUUUUUUCUACUAUAGCACACCAAAGAGAGUUCUAGAAAAAAUGAGAAUAAGAAAUUUACCUGUAAUCCUUGCUCAAGAAACUGAAGCUCUGAGGCCACAUUGUUCCAGCCUUUUGCAGCUCCUGCAUGUGGAUACCAGCACCAGCAGCUCCCCGACCAGGGGCCCCAGCUAAGCCCUCCCAGAGGAUGAUCUUGGCUUUGUACAUGGGGUGUCAAUAUCCUGUGAGUCCAACAGAGGGAAGACAUAAGAAUAUGGUCACCCAGGUAACAGACAUUUGUCUUAAUGUAUUCACUGUGUCAUCAGAAGCCACUUCUUAUCCAUCCUUGUGAAUACUUGAUGAAUGAGGAGUCAAUGAUUAAAUGAAGGAAAGAAAAGAGACUGAAAAGGAGGUUUUGUACAGAGGAAAUCCAGGCUCCUAACGAUGGCGAAAGAUGGGAAUAAAAGGAUCAGAACACUGAGCUGGAUCUUCAGUUCAUUUCAGAACCACCUUAAAAGUAGACCUUUCAGAGCUACCCGAGAAUCCUGGUCCCUGCAGCUGAUCUUCCCACCUCCACCCAGCUCUCGUCCUCCUCUUCCUCCCCAUCCACCAUCCUGACCAG
rnacentral:lncRNA from 10 species